rnacentral:rRNA from 1 species
CCACGGGCGGCAGCAGUGGGGAAUAUUGCACAAUGGAGGAAACUCUGAUGCAGCGACGCCGCGUGAGUGAAGAAGUAAUUCGUUAUGUAAAGCUCUAUCAGCAGGGAAGAUAGUGACGGUACCUGACUAAGAAGCUCCGGCUAAAUACGUGCCAGCAGCCGCGGUAAUACGUAUGGAGCAAGCGUUAUCCGGAUUUACUGGGUGUAAAGGGAGUGUAGGUGGCCAUGCAAGUCAGAAGUGAAAAUCCGGGGCUCAACCCCGGAACUGCUUUUGAAACUGUAAGGCUGGAGUGCAGGAGGGGUGAGUGGAAUUCCUAGUGUAGCGGUGAAAUGCGUAGAUAUUAGGAGGAACACCAGUGGCGAAGGCGGCUCACUGGACUGUAACUGACACUGAGGCUCGAAAGCGUGGGGAGCAAACAGGAUUAGAUACCCCAGUAGUC